UUCCUUACCUGGUAGGGGAGAUACCAGGAUCACCAAGGUCUUUUUCCCAGGGAGAGGCUCACCCCAUUGUAAUCCUGGAGUGCUAACCCCUGCGAUUUCCACAAAUGCAGGAAACUCAACUGCAUAAUUUGUGGUAGUGGGAGACUGCAUUUGUGCUUUCCCCUA
ensembl:snRNA U1 U1 spliceosomal RNA